rnacentral:misc_RNA from 1 species
GUGAAUCAUCAAUUUUUGAACGCAAAUUGCACUCUCCUCGGAGAGUAUGCCGGAUUGAGGGUCAGCCUAUAAAAAAUCGACAUCGUUGCUGUUUCGCGGUGGCGUUCGGCGGAAAUUGAGUCAUCUUAAAUCUUUUGGUGUUAAGCGACUUAAAAUUUUCUUUUUGGUUCCAUGAACGUGUCUAAGAUUGAUUGCUGUACACGUUUAAGGUAUCGAUUUUUAUGAGACGUGACGAUCAUAUCGGAUGGCGCCCAUAAGCUUUCAGCAAC